CCUGUGAAGAAGGUGCCUUGCUUCCCCUUUGCCUUCCACCACAAUGCUAAGUUUCUUGAGGCCUCCCGAGACAUGCUGAACUGUGAGUCAGUCAACUAAGCCUCUUUCCUUUAUAAAUUACCCAGUUUCAGGCAAUUCUUUAUAGCAAUGUGAAAAUGGACUAAUAUACAACUGAAGUCAUUUGGUAAAAUAAGCUUCAAGAUUCCUCUUUUCAUCUCUCACUGAAGAAAUAUACCCCUUUUCAUAAGAAAAUCUACAAAGAGUAUUUAUAAGAAAUUGGUGCAUGGCUGUGCUUCAACUCCUCAGUGCAUGAUAUGAAAGAAAAUCAGAUGAGGUUGCAAGAAAUAAAUUUUGUGUUAGACAUCAGAGACCAUUUCUUGACAGGAAAAGUUGUUUGUGAUGUGUGCAGCAUGAUUGACAACUCAUAUUAAACUGUAUAUGGAAGCACAAACAUUGAAGAAUAGCCAAACAUUCUUGAAGAAAAGAAACAAAUGGAGAGAACUUGUCCUUCAAAUAUCAUUUACUAUAAUAAAGCUGUAGUAAUUAAGAAGGCAUGGUUUUGGCACAGGGAUAAGCACUCAAACCAAUGAGAGAAAAUGGAAUUCUAAAAUAUGAAAAUUAUUCAAACGGGGCUGGCAUUCCUGAUUGAUGGAAAGCACAGACUAGUCAAUUAAUGCAAUAGUUGGUCAUUCAUAUGAGGAAAAAAUGAAAUUAGGUUAGCUUAUACCAUACAAAAUUCAAUCACAAAUGGAUUAAAAACCUAUAAACAAACAAAAAACUCUAUUAAAUAUUUAGAAGACACUAUGUGAGAAUAUUUUUAAAACUUGAGAUAAAUGAUUCCUUAAGGUACAAAACAGCAAAAAAUGACAACCUUUAUUAUAUAAAAAUUAAUUUGUGUUUUCCAGAAUCACAAAAAAGAAAAAAAGCAAGGUAAAAAUAGAGAAAAGAUAUUAGCAACAAAAAUUAGAUAAAAUACUAGUAUUUGGAGUAUCAAAUGGAUUCUGAGAAUCAAAGAGAAAAAAAUCAGUUUAAUAUAAUGAUAGAUAAGAGGAAUAAAUAGGAAUUUCAUAUGAGAGGAAGCACAAAUCUCAUAUAAACAUGUGAACAAGCCUUUAACAUCAUUAGUAGCCAGGGAAAAACAAGACCACACCCCAAAAAUUAAGAACAUAGACCAUUUCAUUCUCAUAAGAUGGUCAAUAGUCAAAAUUGUGCCAAAUAUAGAGCAAGGGAAGCUCCAGUCUCCUACUGGUGGGAGAGUAAAUUGAUACAAUCAUUUUGGAAAACAGUUUGACAUUACCUGCUACAGCUGAAAACAAACAUGUUCUAUAAACCAGGAAUUCUACCGUUAGAUAUUUAAUCCAUAAAAACUCAAAAGACAAAUGCACAAAGUUUACAGUUUUGUUUGUUUAAACAAAAAGAAAAAAAGGAAAACUGAAGCAAGUCAAAUGUUCUUCAGAAGUAGAAAGAACAUUUAAAUUGAAACAAAAUUUCACAAUGAACUGUGAUAGGGCAUUGAGUGAAUUACUACAGAGGAGGGGUGGGUAAACCAAAACCUACAGAGCAGUCAAAUGUUUUUAUAAAUAAAGUUUUAUUGGAGCACAAUCACA
rnacentral:lncRNA from 1 species